UAAUAAGUGUUUUAUGGCACUUUUUAAAUCCAUAUCCACCUUGUGUGCAAUGUCAGUCAUUCUCUUUUGAGGAUGGCCAAACAUCAACCUAUUUUUAACUCUUUGUCUGAAAAAUAUUAUGAAUAAAUAAUUCAAAAUA
rnacentral:misc_RNA from 1 species